rnacentral:tRNA from 4 species
GGAGAGGUACCGAAGUGGUCAUAACGGGAUCGCUUGGAGAGCGAUUAGGCGGCCAUAAGCUGUCACGCGGGUUCGAAUCCCGCCCUCUCCGCCA